rnacentral:rRNA from 1 species
CUCCUCCGCAGCCCAGGCCAGCCCAGAACCAUCCGGCCUACACACAGUGUGACACGAGGAGGCAGACACGGAGGCGACGAGGCUCUCGCUCGUCUCGUCUCGUCUCGGGAGGAGUCACGCCCGCGGCACCUCCCCAAAAGCGAAACCAUAUCCGUGUUCCAUGUGGCCGCGCCUAAUCGCCGUCUGCCACGUGCCAUAUCCCGGAUACCCUCUCCAAAACCUCUCCCUCCACAACGCCUCCUCCUCCGCUCCUCCCUAGGCAGCUAGCCUCUCCGCCUCCCUCCCUUCCGGCCAGCCAGCCAGCUCGCAAUUCCCGCAACUCGCGCCGCCGCGAGGGCAAUGGAGUCCACCGGCGCCGCCAUCUCGGCGCCGUUCGGCUGCCGCGCGUUGCGCUGGGCCGGGCAGCGGCCUCUCCGGGCGGCCGAUGCCAGGAGAAGGCGUGUGGGUUCGGGCCCCGGGCCGGAGCAGUGGAGGAGCUUGAAGGCGAGCUGCGUGGCCACGGAGAAGCCCGACGAGAAGGCGGCGCCGGGGCUGGAGUUCGCCGACGACGAGGACUACGUCAAGGGCGGCGGCGGCGAGCUGCUCUACGUGCAAAUGCAGGCCACCAAGGCCAUGGAAAGCCAGUCCAAGAUCGCCUCCAAGCUGUUGCCUAUAGCUGAUGAAACUUCAGUGCUUGAUUUGGUUAUCAUUGGCUGUGGUCCAGCCGGCCUAUCUCUGGCUGCAGAAUCAGCAAAUAAAGGACUCACUGUUGGUCUCAUUGGCCCUGAUCUUCCAUUCACAAACAAUUACGGUGUAUGGGAGGACGAAUUCAAAGAUCUCGGCCUGGAGAGCUGUAUUGAGCAUGUAUGGAAGGAUACUGUCGUGUACCUAGACCGUAACAAGCCGAUAAUGAUUGGCCGAGCAUAUGGCCGGGUGGACCGAGACUUGCUGCACGAGGAGUUGCUGAGAAGAUGCAACGAUGCUGGUGUUACAUACCUCAACUCAAAGGUUGAACAGAUAAUAGAAUCUCCAGAUGGACAUCGAGUAGUAUAUUGUGAAAGGGACCGCAAGAUACUUUGCAGGCUUGCCAUUGUUGCAUCUGGAGCAGCAUCUGGUAAGCUUCUAGAGUAUGAGGUUGGAGGACCACGUGUUUGUGUGCAGACUGCAUAUGGUGUAGAAGUCGAGGUUGAAAGAUAUCCGUACAACCCCAGCUUAAUGGUUUUCAUGGACUACAGAGAUUGUUUCAAAGAGAAGUUCUCACACCCUGAGGAAGCCAAUCCAACAUUUCUCUAUGCCAUGGCCAUGUCAUCCACACGAGUUUUCUUUGAGGAAACAUGCUUAGCUUCAAAAGAUGCAAUGCCUUUUGAUCUCCUUAAGAAGAGGUUGAUGUCUCGGUUGGAUGCGAUGGGAGUUCGUAUCGUAAAAGUAUACGAGGAGGAGUGGUCUUAUAUUCCUGUUGGAGGAUCCUUACCUAACACAGACCAGAAGAAUCUUGCAUUUGGUGCUGCAGCGAGUAUGGUCCAUCCUGCAACUGGAUAUUCAGUGGUCAGAUCUUUGUCUGAAGCUCCAAGAUAUGCUUCUGUGAUAUCUGAUAUCUUACGAAAUCGUGUCUAUUCUGGACAAUAUUUGCCUGGAAGUUCUGAAAUGUCCAGUCCAUCAAUGCUUGCAUGGGGAACACUAUGGCCUCAAGAACGGAAACGUCAGCGCUCAUUCUUCCUCUUUGGAUUGGCCUUGAUAAUUCAACUGGAUAACAAAGGCAUCCAAACAUUCUUUGAAACCUUUUUCCGGUUACCCAAAUGGAUGUGGCAAGGAUUCCUUGGUUCGACGCUUUCGUCGGUGGAUCUCAUGCUGUUUGCACUCUACAUGUUUGCAAUUGCGCCAAACACUCUGCGAAUGAACCUCGUCAGACACCUCCUCUCGGACCCGACUGGUUCGGCAAUGAUCAGGACCUACCUGACCUUGUAAAACCAUUCAUUUGACUAGCCUGCGAGAAAUCUAGAAAGUGUACAGUUUUGUAGUUGUACAUAACAUAGUUAGAGAUGUUGGAGGAUGUCACCUGCCGUGCCAUGUGUUGCCUCUGCCUAUGCCUAGUAGUGGAGUAAAGCGUGGAUCUUUGUAUAGUUGAAGUGGCCAUGGUUUAAUUUUAGGUUUGGUCUGGGUCAAGCUUCUCCGGGAGCCAAAAGAGGGAGCGUGCAAGAAUAGCCAAGAGUGGUGGUCUAAUCUGGUACCCCCUCCCUCCCUAGGUCAUUUAACGGCGGCAUGCACGGGGAGGAUCUUUGUAGGCAAGGAAGGAAGGGAGCAGGAGGAAGAGGAGAAGGGACGCUUCCGUCGUUCCCUCAACCUCUCUGCCUCUCCUUUCUCUUUCUCUUGUUGCAACAUUUGACAUCCAUCCAAGUGAUCGGAGCAUCGCCGGCAUCCAUUCCCGGUGGAACCGAUGAUGCAGGGAAGCCCCCUGAGCCCCGAUGAGCACCGGCUGACCUCGCCGCCGAGCCUGCACCAGCCGGCGUCGACCAUCGUGGUUGCCAUCGACCGGGACCGCAACAGCCAACUGGCCAUGAAAUGGGUGGUGGACCACCUCCUCUCCGGCGCCUCCCAUAUCAUUCUCCUCCACGUGGCGGCCCACCCUCCUGCAGCCAACCAUGGAUUUGCCAUGGCUGAGACGACGCAGGACGCGCUGGAGGCUGAAAUGAUGGAGAUCUUUGUCCCCUUCAGAGGAUUCUGCUCUAGGAAUGGGGUGCAAGAAUCGGAGGUGAUACUGGAAGAGGCAGACGUCCCCAAGGCCAUCAUAGACUACAUCACCGCCAACAAGAUCCAGAGCAUCGCGCUGGGCGCGUCCAACAGGAACGCAUUCACCAAGAAGUGGAAGAACCCCGACGUGCCCUCCAGCCUCAUGAAGGGCGCGCCCGACUACUGCAACAUCUACGUGGUCGCCAAGGGCAAGCCCGUCAACGUCAGGCUCGCCAAGUGCGGCGUGCCGGCCGACGACAGCGACUUCCUCCUCGCCACCUACUCCAGGAGGAGCUCCAGGAGCCAGCUGCCGCCGGUCUUGCCCGACUUUUUGUCCUCCAGCAGGCGCUCCAUCGACAGGCCCGAGCUCACCACGCGCCCGCCGUUCCGCGAGCGCCCCCUGCAGGCGUCCGCGACCAAGCAGCCCCUCCUUCUGUCGGGAAGGAUCGACAGCACCACGCUGCGCUCCAACUCCCACGACCCAUCCAGCCUCGACCCCGACUUCGCACAGGCCGAGCAUUUCUCCUCCAUGGACUUUGGCGAGAACAUGGACGCGCUCCCCCUCAGCCCCCGGGAGUCCGGCUCGCCCCUCUCCGCCGCCCAGCGCGAGGUGGAGGUGGAGAUGAGGCGGCUCAAGCUGGAGCUGAAGCAGACCAUGGACAUGUACAACGCAGCAUGCAAGGAGGCCAUCAACGCCAAGCAGAGGGCCAAGGAGAUGCACCUGCUCAAGAUGGAGGAGGCGCGGCGCCUGGAGGAGGCCCGUCAGUCGGAGGAGGCCGCAUUGGCGCUGGCCGAGAUGGAGAAGGUCAAGUGCCGGGCCGCCAUGGAGGCUGCCGAGGCCGCGCAGCGUCUCGCCGACCUCGAGGCACAGCGUCGCCGCAACGCCGAGGUGCGCGCGCGCCGGGAGGCCGACGAGAAGGUGCGCGCCCUCGACGCCAUCGCCAACCACGACUUCCGCUACCGCAAGUACAGCAUCGACGAGAUCGAGAUCGCCACCGAGGGCUUCUCCGACAGUCUCAAGAUCGGGGAAGGCGGCUACGGCCCCGUCUACAGCGCCAGCCUCGAUCACACUCCGGUCGCCGUCAAGGUGCUCCGCCCGGACGCCCAGCAGGGCCGGAAGCAGUUCCAGCAGGAGGUGGAGGUGCUCAGCUGCAUCCGCCACCCCAACAUGGUCUUGCUCCUCGGUGCCUGCCCGGAGUACGGCUGCCUCGUCUACGAGUACAUGGAGAACGGCAGCCUCGAGGACCGCCUGUACCGCCGCGGCGGCACGCCGACGCUCCCGUGGAGCCAGCGCUUCAGGAUCUCGGCUGAGAUCGCGACGGCUCUGCUGUUCCUUCACCAGACCAAGCCGGAGCCGCUGGUGCACCGAGACCUCAAGCCGGCCAACAUCCUGCUGGACCGCAACUACGUGAGCAAGAUCAGCGACGUCGGGCUGGCGCGCCUCGUGCCACCGGCGGUGGCGGACAGCGUCACGCAGUACCGGCUGACUGCCACGGCGGGCACCUUCUGCUACAUUGACCCGGAGUACCAGCAAACGGGCAAGCUGGGCGUCAAGUCGGACAUCUAUUCUCUGGGCGUGCUGCUGCUGCAGGUGAUCACCGCGCGGCCGCCCAUGGGGCUGACGCAUCACGUCGAGAAGGCCAUCGAGUCCGGAACCUUCGCACAGAUGCUGGACAUCACCGUCAAGGACUGGCCCGUCGAGGACGCGCUGGGGUUCGCCAAGCUCUCGCUCAAGUGCACGGAGAUGCGGCGGCGGGACCGACCGGACCUCGGCACCGUCAUACUGCCGGAGCUCAACCGGCUCAGAAACCUCGGCAUCGCCUACGACCAGGCGCGGGCCACCGUCCCUGCUGGCGACAGCAGCUCGCACGGGCAGGAAAGGGUUAGCUCACCGACGGCUGACGCGGGGUUGUGGAGAACGGCGGAAAGCUAGCAUUGGCGCACACACACACACAGGGUUGUCUGUAUAUUAGCUCCGUUUCAGAUAGAGAGUGAGCUUAAGUAAUUACAAGAGGAGAGGGGCAUUAUGAAUGCCCACGUUCUUUUUGAGGUUAAAAAUACUUUACCUUGGUGUAUGUAGUUUCUAGCAUGCUUAACAUUGACAUGUUUGC